rnacentral:rRNA from 1 species
GCCUUCGGGUGAGUAGAGCGGCGGACGGGUGAGUAACGCGUGGGAAUCUGCCUAGUAGUGGGGGACAACUCGGGGAAACUCGAGCUAAUACCGCAUACGUCCUACGGGAGAAAGGGGGCUUCGGCUCUCGCUAUUAGAUGAGCCCGCGUUAGAUUAGCUUGUUGGUGGGGUAAAGGCCCACCAAGGCGACGAUCUAUAGCUGGUCUGAGAGGAUGAUCAGCCACAUCGGGACUGAGACACGGCCCGAACUCCUACGGGAGGCAGCAGUGGGGAAUAUUGGACAAUGGGCGAAAGCCUGAUCCAGCCAUGCCGCGUGUGUGAAGAAGGCUCUAGGGUUGUAAAGCACUUUCAGUAGGGAGGAAAAGUUAGUAGUUAAUACCUGCUAACCCUGACGUUACCUACAGAAGAAGCACCGGCAAACUCCGUGCCAGCAGCCGCGGUAAUACGGAGGGUGCGAGCGUUAAUCGGAAUUACUGGGCGUAAAGCGCGCGU